AUGUCUCAUUAUAAAAACGAAAGCAAAGACCAAACACCACUGUUCGUUUAUCGCUGUUAUUCACACAUCGUGCCAGUGGCUGUACAAUAUGAAGAAACUAGUGUUGCUUCUUUCCGUGUUACUCAUUGUGACCAUGUUCAUUGAUGGUGGUAGUGGUUGGUUUUGGGGAAGACAAAUACCAGUAGAUGUUGGCGACCCCAUUGAUGAAACACAAGAUGAAGUUGGAGGUGGAAGCCAGGAUGAUACCAUGUCACCCUUUGGCAAAAUGUUGAAACGAUAACAAUAUUCAUGUCGUCCUACAUGUCACGUCAAUUCUGUUUAGAUGUUAGAUUGUUAUACCAAUAAAGCCUUGCUUUAUUUUCUGCAUACUGUCACAAACAUGCACAAA